GGAGGAUGACAUCACUGUGGUGGUGGCAUUCAUUGAGUCUCAGGACUCGGGAUUCUUUGGUUACUAGUUCAACUUUUUUUUCUGAACAGAAGCUAAUAGUGUUUUUUUUUCCUUUUGUGCAGGUUCAAGAUUUGGAUUGGGCGAAGCCAGCAGCUCCUGCAGACAUGGCUUUUGAUACUGUGGGGGUCAAGGUUGAGCUGACCAAGAACUUUGAGAUUGGUGUCUCAAACAAAACUGCUGAAUUUGUCAAGAUGAUUCCCCCUAGAAAGGUACAUUCACCAGUUAAAUUUACAGAUAAGUUUAAGUGUUUAAUACAGUGAUUCAGGAACUAAUAAAUUUUUGCAUGUUCCUGUCCCUGAGACUCCGGGUGGUGUUAUUUUUUUAGAGGAAUGCUAUUGGAUGCUAUGGUUGCUCGUUCGAAGGGUGAGAACCUUCUUACGGAGAAUCUCUUAUUGAACAUGCAUACUUGUACCCAAGGCUUGGUUUCAAACACAAAGAUCUUCUACGAGGUUGCCGUUAAAAGGAGUCUGGGACAUGUAUGACAUAGACAGUUACUCUGGUUCUGUAACUACAAGUACCACACAGAGAACACUGUGUCAUAUGUGGCCCUGAACAAGAUUGGCAGGUUCCUAUUGUGGAUGGAUCUGUGCUGGAAGAAUGCUUUUGGCAAGAUGCUUGUGAUUGGUUCUGUGGCGCCCUUCCGGGUCAAGGGACUCCGCUCUCUUCCGUGACCAGGACAUCCUCAUGGAGACCAAACCUGACAUCUCCGAUGAGGCCCAGAAGGAGCGGCAACGCCAUGAUUGAGGACAAUCUUGAGCUAUGUGCCUUGAAGUGAGCGGAGUAGUGCUUGGGGUCAAGACGGCAGCGUCAAAGAACUAUGUAGGACCUGAAUUCAGUGUUGAAACCAUGACCUGGCUGCCCGCAUCU